CCUACGGGAGGCAGCAGUGGGGAAUAUUGGACAAUGGGCGAAAGCCUGAUCCAGCAAUGCCGCGUGUGUGAAGAAGGCCUUCGGGUUGUAAAGCACUUUAAGUCGGGAAGAAAAAGCUCUGGCCAAUAUCUAGAGCCUUGACGGUACCAACAGAAUAAGCACCGGCUAACUCUGUGCCAGCAGCCGCGGUAAUACAGAGGGUGCUAGCGUUAAUCGGAUUUACUGGGCGUAAAGCGUGCGUAGGCGGUUUGAUAAGUCGAUUGUGAAAGCCCCGGGCUUAACCUGGGAAUUGCAGUUGAUACUGUCAGACUAGAAAACGGUAGAGGGAGGCGGAACUCCAGGUGUAGCGGUGAAAUGCGUAGAUAUCUGGAAGAACACCGAUGGCGAAGGCAACCUCCUGGGCCUGUUUUGACGCUGAGGCACGAAAGCGUGGGUAGCAAACAGGAUUAGAUACCCUGGUAGUCCACGCCGUAAACGAUGAGAACUUGACGUUGGUCUGUACUUAGACAAGUCGGUGUCGUAGACUAACGCGUAGUUACGUUCCGUCCGUCGGUAGGGGACGGUCCGGCCGUAACGGUAGGUUACGUUAAACGUUAAGAAAGUUAGUUAGGACGGCGNGAGACGCGACGACGGACGACGACGGAGGGAGGAGG
rnacentral:rRNA from 1 species